rnacentral:rRNA from 1 species
UACGGGGGGGGCUAGCGUUGCUCGGAAUCACUGGGCGUAAAGGGUGCGUAGGCGGGUCUUUAAGUCAGGGGUGAAAUCCUGGAGCUCAACUCCAGAACUGCCUUUGAUACUGAUAGUCUCGAGUCCGGAAGAGGUGAGUGGAAUUCCGAGUGUAGAGGUGAAAUUCGUAGAUAUUCGGAGGAACACCAGUGGCGAAGGCGGCUCACUGGUCCGGUACUGACGCUGAGGUGCGAAAGCGUGGGGAGCAAACAGG